GCACCGGCUAACUACGUGCCAGCAGCCGCGGUAAUACGUAGGGUGCGAGCGUUGUCCGGAUUUAUUGGGCGUAAAGGGCUCGUAGGCGGUCGAUUGCGUCGGAAGUGGAAACCUGCGGCUUAACCGUGGGCGUGCUUCCGAUACGGGUUGACUUGAGGAAGGUAGGGGAGAAUGGAAUUCCUGGUGGAGCGGUGGAAUGCGCAGAUAUCAGGAGGAACACCAGUGGCGAAGGCGGUUCUCUGGACCUUUCCUGACGCUGAGGAGCGAAAGCGUGGGGAGCAAACAGGCUUAGAUACCCUGGUAGUCCACGCUGUAAACGGUGGGUACUAGGUGUGGGGUCCAUUCCACGGACUCCGUGCCGUAGCUAACGCAUUAAGUACCCCGCCUGGGGAGUACGGCCGCA
rnacentral:rRNA from 1 species